rnacentral:lncRNA from 1 species
AGGGGCAUUUCUGCAAGGGGAGGUGUGUGUGUGUGAACACCUCUCCAAGCCUAGGCCAGUUUUAUGAUGGGAGAGUGUUAGCCCUCACUCUGGCUUGGGGCUACACUCACUUUUUUUUUAAAGAUGUAUUUAUUUAUUUCAUGUAUGUGAGUACAUGGUCUCUGUCCUCAGACACACCAGAAGAGGCAUCGGAUCUCAUUACAGAUGGUUGUGAGCCACCAUGUGGUUGCUGGGAAUUAAGAGCAGUCAGUGCUCUUAACCACUGAGCCAUCUCUCCAGCCCCCCCCCCCCCCCGCUACAUUCACUUUUGCUGGUGUAUGAGAGGGGUGUGGAGUGCUCAGCUACGAGUUCAGUGUGCUGAGGGUCUGCUAUGUUUGGAUGGGGGUUCCUUCCCUUCUAUCUAAUAGAAACCUGAGUCCUCAGGCUCUCCCCAGCCCCAGCAGAACCUCUUGUCCUAGAAAAAUAGCAACGCAACUGUUUACCACUCUGUCCCCAGUGCCUAGGAGGAUGCUUGGCUGACACACAGAGAACCUCAGCUAAUACUCCUUGAAACCAACAGAAGGAACCUUCUGCUUUCAUCUGGAGGACCCAGCGUUCUGCCUGAGCGUGAGCUAGGACCCCCCUCCCAGGGAACGCCCAGGUGCCUUGGGCUUUCGCCCUCCUGCCAACAUCGAGUCUCCAAGUUCG